AUUGAACGCUGGCGGCAGGCUUAACACAUGCAAGUCGAGCGGGGGAAGGUAGCUUGCUACCGGACCUAGCGGCGGACGGGUGAGUAAUGCUUAGGAAUCUGCCUAUUAGUGGGGGACAACAUCUCGAAAGGGAUGCUAAUACCGCAUACGUCCUACGGGAGAAAGCAGGGGAUCUUCGGACCUUGCGCUAAUAGAUGAGCCUAAGUCGGAUUAGCUAGUUGGUGGGGUAAAGGCCUACCAAGGCGACGAUCUGUAGCGGGUCUGAGAGGAUGAUCCGCCACACUGGGACUGAGACGCGGCCCAGACUCCUACGGGAGGCAGCAGUGGGGAAUAUUGGACAAUGGGGGGAACCCUGAUCCAGCCAUGCCGCGUGUGUGAAGAAGGCCUUAUGGUUGUAAAGCACUUUAAGCGAGGAGGAGGCUACUCUAGUUAAUACCUAGGGAUAGUGGACGUUACUCGCAGAAUAAGCACCGGCUAACUCUGUGCCAGCAGCCGCUGUAA
rnacentral:rRNA from 1 species